GACGAAGGAUGCAAGCGUUAUCCGGAUUCAUUGGGUUUAAAGGGUGCGUAGGCGGACCGAUAAGUCAGUGGUGAAAUCUCUCAGCUUAACUGAGAAACUGCCAUUGAUACUGUUGGUCUAGAGUAUAGAUGAUGUGGGCGGAAUAUGACAUGUAGUGGUGAAAUACUUAGAUAUGUCAUAGAACACCGAUUGCGAAGGCAGCUCACAAAACUAUAACUGACGCUGAGGCACGAAAGUGCGGGGAUCAAACAGG
rnacentral:rRNA from 1 species